AUGUUGAUCUGCAUCAUCAUACUUCUGUCAUCAAUUGAAGGUUCCAGAGCUUUAGAAGCCAUCGAUCCAAAAACUGACAGAGAGUUUGCUGUUGAAGGUGACAAUGUGACUCUCUCUUGUAACUACAGUGGAUCUGUUCGUGGCGUUCACUGGUAUCGACAGUACGCAGCUUCGCCACCACAAUUCCUCAUACUAGAAGAUUCAGGAGUAACAACUCCAGCAAAUCCACCAGUUCCUGGAAUCUCCAUCAAUCACAGAAAAGCAGAAAAACAUGUGGAUCUGCUGCUCUCCUCUGCUGCAGUAUCAGACUCUGCUGUGUAUUACUGUGCUCUGAGGCCCACAGUGACAGGAAACACUGAGACACUGUACAAAAACAUCUCAUAA